CUAGUCGGACAUAAAACUGUGAGGGACCCGUUUCUUCUUCCACUUCCUUCUCUCAUCGGUUAGAGAUGGUGGAGAAAAUGCAGAAGCUGCUUUCUCUAGAGGUGUGGGAAGAGUGUGGCAAGACUCCUUUCAUGAGGUUGCUGUGCUGCCCUUUAACUUCUCAAAGCAGCUGGAUGGUGCCCUGUGGUGGCAGUGAAACACCGACUGAGGAAGGGAGUGAUGCCACCUCAACAUGGCUCUCUUGACUGACUACUUGGAGACUGCCAAAUUGAAGCCUUAUGAUGACUGAGGGCCAUGAUUCUCCUACAUUAAGGUACCUGGCUUUAGACAGUUAAGAAGAUGGCAGCAGUCAUCUCUCCAACAAAAGCCUACCCAGGUCAACAUUGGUGCUGAACAGAGGCAGAGGAGGUCACUGGGACUGCCUGAUCUUGUCCCAGAGUUAAGGCUUGCUGUCUGAGUGCUGGGGCCAACGGCUGAUGCCUGCAACAAUGCUACAAACUCCAGGUUGAACUUGGGUGGCAAGAUGAAGAUCAUUGGCUUUCUGCUCUGGAGUGUUUUGACUCCAGGUUGAACUUGGGUGGCAAGAUGAAGAUCAUUGGCUUUCUUAUCUGGAUUGCUGCAGUUUGUUUCUGUGGAUGCUUCAAAGAACCUGUGAAAAUGUUUGUUUCCAUGGCACUUGGCUUGCAGUGACAAAAUAAAUGUAUCCAGGAAGCUGA